AGCGAACGCUGGCGGCAGGCCUAACACAUGCAAGUCGAACGAACUCUUCGGAGUUAGUGGCGGACGGGUGAGUAACACGUGGGAACGUGCCUUUAGGUUCGGAAUAACUCAGGGAAACUUGUGCUAAUACCGAAUGUGCCCUUCGGGGGAAAGAUUUAUCGCCUUUAGAGCGGCCCGCGUCUGAUUUGCUAGUUGGUGAGGUAAAGGCUCACCAAGGCGACGAUCAGUAGCUGGUCUGAGAGGAUGAUCAACCACAUUGGGACUGAGACACGGCCCAAACUCCUACGGGGGGCAGCAGUGGGGAAUCUUGCGCAAUGGGCGAAAGCCUGACGCAGCCAUGCCGCGUGAAUGAUGAAGGUCUUAGGAUUGUAAAAUUCUUUCACCGGGGACGAUAAUGACGGUACCCGGAGAAGAAGCCCCGGCUAACUUCGUGCCAGCCGCCGCGGUAA
rnacentral:rRNA from 1 species